rnacentral:tRNA from 1 species
GGCUCCAUAGCUCAGUGGUAGAGUGCCUGUCUCAUGAGCAGGAGGUCCCGGGUUCAACCCCCGGUGGAGCCA